rnacentral:rRNA from 1 species
AGAGUUUGUCCUGGCUCAGAGCGAACGCUGGCGGCAUGCUUAACACAUGCAAGUCGCACGGUCAGCAAUGGCAGUGGCGGACGGGUGAGUAACGCGUAGGAAUCUAUCUCUGGGUGGGGGACAACCGUGGGAAACUACGGCUAAUACCGCAUGAUACCUGAGGGUCAAAGGCGUAAGUCGCCUGGAGAGGAGCCUGCGUCUGAUUAGCUAGUUGGUGGGGUAAAGGCUUACCAAGGCGACGAUCAGUAGCUGGUCUGAGAGGAUGAUCAGCCACAUUGGGACUGAGACACGGCCCAAACUCCUACGGGAGGCAGCAGUGGGGAAUAUUGGACAAUGGGCGCAAGCCUGAUCCAGCAAUGCCGCGUGUGUGAAGAAGGUCUUCGGAUUGUAAAGCACUUUUGGCAGGGACGAUGAUGACGGUACCUGCAGAAUAAGCCC